UGUAAGCGUAUACCAAAAUUGUUGCAGUUAAAACGCUCGUAGUCGGAAUUUGGCAGUUCCGGAUGUGUGCACGUCGUGUGCGCACUUCGCGGGGAUUGCUUUUGUGGUCUUGCGUAGGAUGAGGCACUUUUAUUAGUGAACGUCCUCACGCAACCACUUUUUACUGUGAGAAAAUCAGAGUGCUCAAAGCAGGCAUUUGCCGUGAAUGUAUUAGCAUGGAAUAAUAGAAUAGGACUUGGUUCUAUUUUGUUGGUUUGUUGGGACUGAGUAAUGAUUAAGAGGGACAGUUGGGGGCAUUUGUAUUUCGGUGCUAGAGGUGAAAUUCUUAGAUUACCGAAAGACAAACUGCUGCGAAAGCGUCUGCCAAGGAUGUUUUCAUUGA
rnacentral:rRNA from 1 species